rnacentral:rRNA from 1 species
CGAAAACGAAUUCUCUCUUGAGUGGAUCCUGAGUACGACGGAGCACGUGAAAUUCCGUCGGAAUCUGGGAGGACCAUCUCCUAAGGCUAAAUACUCUCUAGUGACCGAUAGUGAACCAGUACCGUGAGGGAAAGGUGAAAAGUACCCCGGAAGGGGAGUGAAAGAGAACUUGAAACCGUGUGCUUACAAGUAGUCAGAGCCCGUUAAUGGGUGAUGGCGUGCCUUUUGUAGAAUGAACCGGCGAGUUACGAUCUGAUGCAAGGUUAAGCAGAAAAUGUGGAGCCGUAGCGAAAGCGAGUCUGAAUAGGGCGAAUGAGUAUUUGGUCGUAGACCCGAAACCAGGUGAUCUACCCUUGGUCAGGUUGAAGUUCAGGUAACACUGAAUGGAGGACCGAACCGACUUACGUUGAAAAGUGAGCGGAUGAACUGAGGGUAGCGGAGAAAUUCCAAUCGAACUUGGAGAUAGCUGGUUCUCUCCGAAAUAGCUUUAGGGCUAGCCUCAAGUGAUGAUUAUUGGAGGUAGAGCACUGUUUGGACGAGGGGCCCCUCUCGGGUUACCGAAUUCAGACAAACUCCGAAUGCCAAAUAAUUUAACUUGGGAGUCAGAAUGUGGGUGAUAAGGUCCAUAUUCGAAAGGGAAACAGCCCAGACCACCAGCUAAGGUCCCAAAAUAUAUGUUAAGUGGAAAAGGAUGUGGCGUUGCCCAGACAACUAGGAUGUUGGCUUAGAAGCAGCCAUCAUUUAAAGAGUGCGUAAUAGCUCACUAGUCGAGUGACACUGCGCCGAAAAUGUACCGGGGCUAAACAUAUUACCGAAGCU